CCAAACCGUUUCUGAUGGCGCAGCCAUGCGGGGAAUUCCGUGUGAAUCGGAAACAGUCGCGCUGCGGUAAGAGGGUACGGAGCUUCUUUGGCGACACGCCACGACAGCCAGCCGUCACGGUGAAGGCGAAGCAAAGGCCCGGAGGCAUGCCUCCCCAUUCCCUCAAGUCCGAAUACCCGCCCCAUCCCCAACCUUUCA
rnacentral:ncRNA from 2 species